rnacentral:rRNA from 1 species
UAGGGAAUCUUCCGCAAUGGACGCAAGUCUGACGGAGCAACGCCGCGUGAGUGAAGAAGGAUUUCGGUUCGUAAAACUCUGUUGUUAGAGAAGAACAGCGCAUAGAGUAACUGUUAUGCGUGUGACGGUAUCUAACCAGAAAGCCACGGCUAACUACGUGCCAGCAGCCGCGGUAAUACGUAGGUGGCAAGCGUUGUCCGGAUUUAUUGGGCGUAAAGCGAGCGCAGGCGGUCAAUUAAGUCUGAUGUGAAAGCCACCGGCUCAACCGGGGAGGGUCAUUGGAAACUGGUUGACUUGAGUGCAGAAGAGGAGAGUGGAAUUCCAUGUGUAGCGGUGAAAUGAGUAGAUAUAUGGAGGAACACCAGUGGCGAAGGCGACUCUCUGGUCUGUAACUGACGCUGAGGCUCGAAAGCGUGGGUAGCAAACAGG